CCAGUUCCUGGUGCAUAUUAAAUGUUUAAUAAAUAUUUAAUGAAUAGAGGAAUUAAUACAUGAAUGCCAAUAUUGCUUGAAACCUUUUUUGUGGACUCCAUGUUGGAAAUUGACAAGAAAGAAAAUCAGUCUCAUUAUUCUAUAAUCACCCUUCAUUUCAAUCCAGGAAUGGUAUUAUUUAGCUUGAUGAACCACCUUAAUCAUGAGACUUAGUUUCAACUGAUCUUUGGAUAAAUCCACAAAGUCAACCAAAUGUGGUACCUACUUGUAUUUACUUGCUAGGGCUGUGUGUUAGUCCAUUCUGCAUUGCUAUAAAGGAAUACUCGAGACUGGGUAGUUUAUAAAGAAAGGAAGUUUGUUUGGUUCAGGGUUGAUAUGAUUUGGUUCUAUGUCCCUACCCAAAUUUCACCUCAAAUUGUACUCUCCGUAAUCCCCACAUGUGAAGGGCCGGACCAGGUAAAGGUAAUUGGAUCAUGGGAGUGGUUCCUCCGUGCUUUUUUCGUGAUAGUGAAUUCUCACAAGAUCUGACGGUUUUAUAAGUGUCUGACAUUUCCCCUGCUUGCACUAACUCUGUCCUGCCACCCUGUGAAGAAGGUGCCUACUUUUCCUUUGCCCUCUGUCAUGAUUGUAAGUUUCCUGAGGCUUCCUCAGCAAUGCAGAACUAUGAGUCACUGUGAGUCAACUAAACCUCUUGCCUUUAUAAAUUACCUGGUCUUGUGUAUUUCUUCAUAGCAGUGUGAG
rnacentral:lncRNA from 1 species